CAAUAGGGUUUCUGCUGUGAAUAGCACAUGGACGAGGAGCUUGUGCUUUAUCUGUGUGGAAUCGAUAUCAAGAGAUUUCGGAAGCACAAUUUUUGUUUCUUGAAGCUGCUGUUGAUCGUUUGUCUUGGCACUCCA